UUAAACAUGAGAGUUUGAUCCUGGCUCAGAACGAACGCUGGCGGCAGGCCUCAUACAUGCAAGUUGAACGAGAAAGUAUCUUCGGAUACGAGUACAGUGGCGGACGGGUGAGUAAUACAUAGGAAUCUACCCAAUGGAGGGGGAUAGCUCGAGGAAACUCGAAUUAAUACCGCAUAAUCUCCAAGGAGUAAAGGGGGCUUCGGCUCUC
rnacentral:rRNA from 1 species